GACGAACGCUGGCGGCGUGCUUAACACAUGCAAGUCGAACGGAAAGGCCCUGCUUUUGUGGGGUGCUCGAGUGGCGAACGGGUGAGUAACACGUGAGUAACCUGCCCUUGACUUUGGGAUAACUUCAGGAAACUGGGGCUAAUACCGGAUAGGAGCUCCUGCUGCAUGGUGGGGGUUGGAAAGUUUCGGCGGUUGGGGAUGGACUCGCGGCUUAUCAGCUUGUUGGUGGGGUAGUGGCUUACCAAGGCUUUGACGGGUAGCCGGCCUGAGAGGGUGACCGGGCAACAUGGGGCUGAGGAAGGGCCCAGUGUCCUAACGGGGGGAAUAGGGGGGAAUAUUGUCCAAAGGGCCGGAGCCUGAAUCCACAACCGCCGGGUCGGGAAGGCCGCCUUCGGGUUGUAAACCGCUUUCGCCUGUGACGAAGCGUGAGUGACGGUAAUGGGUAAAGAAGCACCGGCUAACUACGUG
rnacentral:rRNA from 1 species